rnacentral:rRNA from 1 species
AACGAACGCUGGCGGCAGGCUUAACACAUGCAAGUCGAACGCCUGUAGCAAUACAGGAGUGGCAGACGGGUGAGUAACACGUGGGAACGUGCCCAAAGGUACGGAACAACUCCGGGAAACUGGAGCUAAUACCGUAUGUGCCCGAAAGGGGAAAGAUUUAUCGCCUUUGGAUCGGCCCGCGUCUGAUUAGCUAGUUGGUGGGGUAAUGGCCUACCAAGGCGACGAUCAGUAGCUGGUCUGAGAGGAUGGCCAGCCACACUGGGACUGAGACACGGCCCAGACUCCUACGGGAGGCAGCAGUGGGGAAUAUUGGACAAUGGGCGCAAGCCUGAUCCAGCCAUGCCGCGUGAGUGAUGAAGGCCUUAGGGUUGUAAAGCUCUUUCGCCAGGGACGAUAAUGACGGUACCUGGAUAAGAAGCCCCGGCUAACUUCGUGCCAGCCGCCGCGGUAA